rnacentral:rRNA from 1 species
AGCGAACGCUGGCGGCAGGCCUAACACAUGCAAGUCGAACGGAUUCUUCGGGAUUAGUGGCGGACGGGUGAGUAACACGUGGGAACGUGCCCUUUGGUUCGGAACAACUCAGGGAAACUUGAGCUAAUACCGGAUGUGCCCUUCGGGGAAAGGAUUUAUUCGCCAUUGGAGCGGCCCGCGUCUGAUUAGCUAGUUGGUGAGGUAAAGGCUCACCAAGGCGACGAUCAGUAGCUGGUCUGAGAGGAUGAUCAGCCACAUUGGGACUGAGACACGGCCCAAACUCCUACGGGAGGCAGCAGUGGGGAAUCUUGCGCAAUGGGCGAAAGCCUGACGCAGCCAUGCCGCGUGAAUGAUGAAGGUCUUAGGAUUGUAAAAUUCUUUUCACCGGGGACGAUAAUGACGGUACCCGGAGAAGAAGCCCCGGCUAACUUCGUGCCAGCAGCCGCGGUAAGGUGCGCGAGU